AAACUGCAAAAUGUUUCAUGACAAUGGGAGUCUUGUAAAUGGUUAGCCUUAUAAUCACAUGUAUGUAUUUUCUACUGUUUUAAAAAUGUUUGUUUCAUAUUCAAACAAUAGGACUAAUAUUUUAUUUGAUAUUAUUUGGUGAUUUGAACAACCAGAUCUCUGAAAGGUAAUUUAAGCUCCAUAAACAUGAGUCACACUGACAUCCCAGAUUGAAGAAACUAAUAUUGGAAAAGGAUCUGUAAUUUUGAAUGUUUCAAGAGCUUGGAACUCAAGGUAGAUGGUACUUCUUAGUUUUCUGACAAGGACUCUAAAGUGAGAAAUUGAAUAAAAUAAAGCUGGUGAGUUGAAAAUCAAGCAAGUGCUUAAAUUGCCACUUAGGAAGCUGAGAUCAACUUCUGUAGAUUACACACCC
rnacentral:lncRNA from 1 species